rnacentral:rRNA from 1 species
GAUGAACGCUGGCGGCGUGCCUAAUACAUGCAAGUCGAGCGAACAGACGAGGAGCUUGCUCCUCUGACGUUAGCGGCGGACGGGUGAGUAACACGUGGAUAACCUACCUAUAAGACUGGGAUAACUUCGGGAAACCGGAGCUAAUACCGGAUAAUAUAUUGAACCGCAUGGUUCAAUAGUGAAAGACGGUUUUGCUGUCACUUAUAGAUGGAUCCGCGCCGCAUUAGCUAGUUGGUAAGGUAACGGCUUACCAAGGCGACGAUGCGUAGCCGACCUGAGAGGGUGAUCGCCCACACUGGAACUGAGACACGGUCCAGACUCCUACGGGAGGCAGCAGUAGGGAAUCUUCCGCAAUGGGCGAAAGCCUGACGGAGCGACGCCGCGUGAGUGAUGAAGGUCUUCGGAUCGUAAAACUCUGUUAUUAGGGAAGAACAAAUGUGUAAGUAACUAUGCACGUCUUGACGGUACCUAAUCAGAAAGCCACGGCUAACUACGUG